GUACAACACUUCUCGUGGGGGCACCGUUCAGCAGGCAAGAAUCCUGGUGACCAUUUCUGCGACAAUGCAUGCGUUUUCACAUAACCUGCCGUGUGCGACAAAGAAACGACACGCAACGUAUCUUGACCUUCUCACAUGUUGUGCUUUGUGUAGGCACAGAGCAAACCAAUCUAACAAGGGUCAUUUUGCAUCAUGCUUUCGGGUUUUUGACCUGUGCCUGCUUUCAGGGCUUUAUGUCGAUUUCAUUCGUCGCUGCCGCACUGGUAAGAAGCUUAAUUAUUCUUCGCUGCGAUUGACUACCGCUUUGCAAUUCGUGGUACAUCCGGCAACGCACUUUUACGAUCUAGCAGCCGUGCGAUACCAUCUACUCGUGAGAUGAGAGAUGAGAGGUAAUGCCUGAGUCCUAGCCUCGACUGCGAGAGAUUAACUCCGUGUGUCGUCCCAGGUGUUCCAGCGCUGAGCAGCGGUUUUUACUGCACUUGGCUAUCCUGUUGUUGGGGGCAGACUGACUACUCUUGUAUUUAUCGGGUCCCUUCCAUUGAGCUCUGCGUAACAAUUGCCAGAAGAAUUUGGCUGAUGUCGAUAACACACUUAAACUCCAAUGCGGUUCUCCCCCAUCCGAUGCCCAGUAUUAUGAGCUGCGCCGUUGCUUCCCCAGGAUGCAGUGUCCCCGGCGAUUCAUCGCCUGUACUGACACGAGCUAGCCGCAAACGGUUCGUGAAUACAUGUACAUCCAAAUCAAUAUUUUGUUGGGUAGUCAUUUCCCGGUUGUGCGAGACUGCUGCAGUCAGUUUAUUUGCCACGUGGCUGUCUAGAUCAAAUUUGCACUGGCAAACGAGUACUUGGUGGGCAAGGGGUGAAGGAAGGCACUGUUGAACGCACGCCAUAAGGUGUUGUCUUUUGGUCUUUUGGGUUCGAGAUUCAUGUUUCAACUGCAUAUCCUCCGUCGAUUGUGCCGUCACCUUAAUGCACGACGGCCAGACGGCUGCAGCUGCGAUCGUGUAGAGGAUGGUGGAGGUGGCGAUUUGAUACGCUGUUCUUUGGUUCCCACCGAUAUACUGUUACAGGGCGCCGCGUGGAUGGUGAGUCACUUGUACACUUCGCAGCAUAUAUAAUUCCUGAUACCGAGCGGCUUCGAUGCCGAUGGCUUCUCGUUCUGAGGCUCAGGGAUACGUGGGAACUGCAAGCGCGAAGGGAUGUGGCCCUCACGAACGGUCCGAGGGGCGCGGGGAGGGAUACGAAGUGCGUGGUUGAUACCGACCCGAUUAACGGAACCCAGUUCGAAAGGAAGCAAGCGAAUUUGAAGCAGCAGUGUGCCUGCGAUACAGUUGUGUACGGCGAAUGAAAUGGAGGAGGGCCGGUAGCUGACACGGUAGUCAGAGAAGAAGCAGCGUGUGCUCACCCUGUUAUCUAGAGUCAAUGUUUAUCGUCUGUGCUGUAAUGUGGAGUUUGUGUGGAGUAAGCUUGGACGCGUGGCAUACGUUCGCCUCAUCAGACCCAAGCUGGGCUGCAGCCUUACCAGAUUUGUCGCCUACCUGGCCAAGCUGGCUGUACUACAUGCUUACCCUGCCUGCCCCUCUACUGUCUGGGUUCUGGCCAAUGCAGCUGGCGGUUUGGUGUAAACUAAUGAAGAGGUGCGUUGAUUACUGAUACGCACAAGAGGCGGACGGGCCAGGCCAGUGCAUCCAGGACCGUUGGAGGAUGGAACAGUUCACGUUACUCAAUUGAUAUAUUUUAUCUGGUCCUUGUUUUCCAACGUCACGCUCGUCGCCGGACACCUGCUGCCGCUCAUAUUCCAGCGUUCGCUCCACUGUGUGCAGUCCGAGCACGUCGUGGCGUGAUUAACCAGAAGAAGAGAGUACGGUGUAAAAAUGGCUUUUCUGUGAACCAGUGUCGCGUAUGCGUCGGUAGACACACAAUCGGUGAUUUAGGUGUCGGACCGCAGAAACAUCUAGCAAGAGACCAGAUAGAAGAGUUUCGGGGCUGCGUCCGCCCCCUCAAAAACAUCAACGCUUACGACAUAGUUCUUGCUAGAGCAAUACAAUAGUGGCCAUACAAAGUACGUAUCACACGGUGGUGCUCCU
rnacentral:lncRNA from 1 species